rnacentral:rRNA from 1 species
GAUGAACGCUGGCGGCGUGCCUAAUACAUGCAAGUCGAGCGAACGGACGAGAAGCUUGCUUUUCUGAUGUUAGCGGCGGACGGGUGAGUAACACGUGGAUAACCUACCUAUAAGACUGGGAUAACUUCGGGAAACCGGAGCUAAUACCGGAUAAUAUUUUGAACCGCAUGGUUCAAAAGUGAAAGACGGUCUUGCUGUCACUUAUAGAUGGAUCCGCGCUGCAUUAGCUAGUUGGUAAGGUAACGGCUUACCAAGGCAACGAUGCAUAGCCGACCUGAGAGGGUGAUCGGCCACACUGGAACUGAGACACGGUCCAGACUCCUACGGGAGGCAGCAGUAGGGAAUCUUCCGCAAUGGGCGAAAGCCUGACGGAGCAACGCCGCGUGAGUGAUGAAGGUCUUCGGAUCGUAAAACUCUGUUAUUAGGGAAGAGCAUAUGUGUAAGUAGCUGUGCACAUCUUGACGGUACCUAAUCAGAAAGCCACGGCUAACUACGUG